rnacentral:tRNA from 1 species
GUGAGACCCUGUCAUAAAAUAAAAUAAAAUAAAAUAAAAUAAAAUAAAAUAAAAUAAAAUAAAAUAAAAUAAAAUAAAAUAGUUAAACCCAGGCCGGGAGGGGUAGCUCACACAUGUAAUCACAGCACUUUGGGAGGCUGAGGUGGGCGGAUCACCUGAGGUCAGGAGUUUGAGACCAGCCUGGCCAACAUGGUGAAACCCCAUCUCUACUAAAAAUACAAAAAUUAGCUGGGCGUGGUUGCAAGCACCUGUAGUCCCAGCUACUCAGGAGGCUGAGACAGGAGAAUUACUUGAACCUGGGAGACAGAGGUUGCCGUGAGCCAAGAUCUCACCAGUGCAGUACAGCGUGGGUGACAGAGCAAGUAAGUAAAGAGGAGGUUUGGAAUUAGAUAUUUGGUGUAUGAAUGAAUGGGCUAAAGUGCAAAAGAACAGGCAGAAUAACUGAGCUGGUACAGAGGAAAAAAAUCACACUUAAAAUCUAAAAGUAUCUGCUUCUCAAUUUGGGCUUUCCCACUUAGCAGCUUUGACACCUUAGAAAGAACACUUAACUUACCUGAGCUUCUAUUACUUCUAAAAAGUGCAUAAAGUGCAGGCUAAGACAUAGUUUUUUUGGCAAAAUUCAGUCAGACUACAUCAAGUAAACUCCCUAAGUCUCCUAGUAUAAUUCAUGGCACAAAAACUGGGGAAAAAACAGGGAGGAUAUGUUUAUAAGUUCAGUUUGGGUUUUUUGUUGAGUGAAUGUCUCCAGUCAUAGAGAUGCAAGUGUAGAUACACCGUAAGAGUAGUAUGAACAGGAGACACCUUGGAAGGCUAUUUCUUCCUUCAUUCAUUCAGUUGGUCACUCAAUGAACUAUCAUGAAUUGAGCACUACCUCUGUUUCUUAUCAACAAAGGAGACUACGGAAAAGAAGAGUGACUAAGAUCUCUGAAGAAGGGAAAAGCUAGAUGACUGGGCCACAAGAGGAAAAAAAGCAGCAAGACAGAGAUUUGUUGGUGCCAACUAAAUGAGCCCAACAGCCAGUGACAACAGAACUGCACUAAAAAAAGUCCCUCAUCAGCUCUUGAGAGCAGGUUCCUUAAAGGUGAACAAUAUUCCACAUACAAGGACUUUUUCAGCACCAUGCAUUAGAAAUGGAAGUGAAUGUUUAUUAUUUUUUGUAUAAGUUGGUUGAUACGGCUUUUCAGCUUCCCUCAGUAUCAUUAUCCAAAUUUUGUAGAUGACACUAAAGCUCAGAGGAGUUAAACCAUUUUCCUCAAAUCACAUAGUUUUAAAUAGGAAAACCAGAUAUGAAAAGCAGAUUUUUUUCUAAAUUAAAAAAAAAAAAAAAACUUGAGCUCUUGCUUUACCCUAGCACAUAGUCUCACCAUCUGUUUUCUCCAUGCCAGGUCAUUCAUGUAACAUUCAUUCACAUAACAAAUACAAAUAAAUGAGUGGAUUCAUUCAUCAGCUAUUAAUUCAGAAUCUCUUUUGUGUCUACCACACUAGGCUCAAGACUUCCCAGUGUCUUUGUCUCCUCUCCCUCAAAUCUCUCCACCCAAUGUCUUGACAAAUACUGUAGAUCCUUCCUGCACAGCAUCACCAGAAUGUUUUUCUUUCUUUUCAUUCACCUCUGUCAUCAUCCAUGCUAUGGUGUUUAUGGAGGAUGUAUUCUGCAGCAGGAAGUGUGAUGGGCACUGACGCUGCAGAAAGACUCCUGUUGUCCACCUCGGGAGCUGACACGAUAAAUGCGGCUUGAAUGUGAGGCAACUGUGAAAAGUGCAGGGCAGAGCCACCUGGGUAAAUACAGCCCUGGCUUUCUGGUGAGAGGACUGAAACCAGGAUGUGUCAAGUAACUAGAAUGUGCCUGGACAGAUACUGUAGAAAGCAAACCCAUAAAGUUGUUCAUGAGCUUGUGGACGCACCUGCCAGCUGUGAAUAAGUGGGUCUAAUCCCAAACAACUUACCUAAAAAGAGCCUGAGGACUGAACUAAACAAUGGUCCACUUUCCAGUCCUCACUGACCACUGGUUGCACACACUCCAGAGAUCUCUCAUCCGCAGUGUCAAGGCUUUCAAAUAGAGUUAUCUGUGAAACAACAACACAUGGAAGUCUGGUUGGUACUUGGAGCUUAAAUACAAGGCAAUUGUGUGCCUGCAAAAACAAAAAGAGCAAUAUUAUCCUUAAGAUUUCAACAAGACACAGUGUCUCAUCACAUAAUCCAAAGAAGUCCAGGUUACAAGCCCCAAAAUAUUCAGCAUUAUGAAAAACCAGGGAGAUCUUAAUUCACAUGGCAAAGAGAAUCCUUGCAUAACAAUAUUGAGAGGACACAUAUGUCAAAAUCAUCUGACACAUACAUUAAAGCAGUUAUUAUAACAAUGCUCCUAGAAUUACGGGAUAGCAUUCAUGAAGUGAAUGGAAAGUUGGAAAGUCUCACCAAAUAUUUGGAAUAUGUAAACACCAAUUUAAACUUAAGAAUUAAAAAAAGUAUUAACCAAAACUAUUAGGGGAAAUAAAAAGCUUAAUUGGAUGAUCUCAAUAGCAGUAUGCAGAAGACUAAGGAAAAAGUCAAUGAACUUGAAAACGGAACAAGAAUACCUACAGAAUCUGACCUAUAGAAAGAAAGGAGGAUUUUAUUGUCCCUGAACAGAGGCUCAGGGACAAAUAAAAAAUAACAAAUCUAACAUUCACAUUAUUGUAAUCUGGAAACAUUCACAUUAUUGUAAGAGGACAAAGAGGUCUUUGUGGGAUAAAACUGUGAAGAAUUAAUGGCUGAAAAUGUAUCAAAUUUCUCAAAAGAUAUAAACCAGAUUUUUAAAGUUCAGUAAAUGUCAAGCAGGAUAAACCAAAAGAAACCCAUUGCAAGACAUAUCAUAAUCAAACUGCGGAAAAUUAAGAAAACACAAAACAAUUUUGAAAGCAGCCAAAGGGAAAUGAAAGAUAAAAUACCAAAUGAAUGAUUGUAGAUUUCUCAUCGGGAACCCAGGAGCCAGAAAAAAAUGUCAUAACAUUCAGUAAAUACCAAAGGAAAAAUACAUUAUCAACCCAGAAUGGUAUGUGGAGCAAAAGUAUCUUCCAGACAUAAAGGCAAAUAAAUGCAUUCUCAUUGGAAGGUAAAUAAAUACAUUCUCAGUCCUAGCAAAACUGCUGGAAAAGAAUUAGCAAAGGUUUGAGAUAAGAAAAGUGAUACCAGAAGGAAACUUAGAACAUCAUCAAUGAAGGAACAAAAGCAGAAAUAGAAAAUGUCUGGGUAGACAUAACAGACUAUUAUUCUUCUCUUGAGUUCCUUAAGGUAUGUUUGAUGGUUGAAAGCAAAAAUUGUAACUUUAUCUGAUGCAGUUGUCAUUGUAUCUAGAUGUACUACAUACAUAAGAUAAAAGGGUAAAUGUAAUGGGACUAACUCUUGAUGAAGUUUCUAUAUUCAACUUGAAUGGUAAAAUAUUGAUUCUUAGUAUACUGUGAAAAGUUAUAUAUGUAUAUGGUAAUCCCUAGACCACUUAACAACCAGAUUGAAAUAAACCAAAACAAGAUAGACAGAGGAACAUAGAAGAAUUAAAACAAAGGGAAAAAAGGUUAAUAAAUUAUUAAAUAGUAGAUCUAUCUAAAAACUUAUCUAUAAUAACAUUAUAUGUAAAUUAUCUAAAUGCAUUAAGUAAAAACUAGAGAUCAUCAGAAUGUGUUAAAAAUAAAUAUGCUGACUAAAGAAAGCCACCUGCAAUACACUUAUAAAUAAGAAUAAAAGUUAUAGAGCAGAUUGAAAGAAAAGAGUGGGAAAAGAUACCUCAUGCAAGCAUUAAUCAAAGACAGCUGUGGUGUAUAUAUAUAAAAUCAGACAAAGUAGAUUUGAAAGCAGAGAAACUUUUCAGGAAUAAUGAGGCCUCCUAAAUAAUUAUGAUUGUCAAUUUUUCAGGAGAAUAUUGUCCCAAAUGUAUAUGAGGACACAGAGCUUCAAAACUCAUAAACAAAAUUGGAUACGCCAAGUAAAAAUAGAAAAAUCCAGUUAUAGUUGCAGUCAUUAACACUCCUCUCUGAGUAAUUGGAAGAUUUAGUGGAACACAAAUCAACAGACAUACUGGAGAAUUGAACCAUGCCAUCCAGUAAUGGACCUAUCAAUUUCAUAAUGCAAAAUAAAAAUUCAGGUAGAAAGCAAAGACAAAAAUUAAAAGAAAAGCAAGAUCAUGUUAUAAUGAGAAAAUUAAGAGUAGUCCAGUGUAUAGAAGGGUGCUAUUAUUGAAAGAGUUUGAAAUAGUGACUUAGUUAUUUUGAAACAUUUUUGAAGACGUUAUUUAGCUGGAAAUGACAGAAAGACUGAAAAUGGUGAAUGUGGAGGUGGAUCUUCCCUUGUCCAUAUUUAUCUUGUCUUCGUUUGAGGUCUGGGGUGUCUAUACUUCCUCUGAAUUACCUGAUCUUACUACAGUGUCUGGCACAGAGCAUCUCCCCAGUGAAUAUGUACUAAAUGAGUAGAAAGUAAUUGAUAGAUUCAAAAGAGUUGUGCAAGAAUAAUGUUCAUUAUUUGACUAAUCACUGAAUGUGGUGUUUCAAGGAAGACAAUGAAUCAAAGUUGACUUGAAAGGUAAGCCCAGGGCCAGACGUGGUGGCUCAUUUCUGUAAUCCCAGCACUUUGGGAGGCCGAGAUCAGUGGAUCCCUUGACACCAGGAGUUUGAGACCAGCCUAGGCAACACAGUGAAAACCUGUCUCUACAACAAAUACAAAAAUUAGCCGGGUGUGGUGGUAUGCAUCUGUAGUUCCAGCUACUCAGGAGGCUGAGGUGGGAGGAUCGCUUGAACUCAGGAGGUGGAGGUUGCAGUGAACAGAGAACGCACCGGUACCUGGACAACAAAGUGAGACCCUGUCAUAAAAUAAAAUAGUUAAACCCAGGCCAGGAGGGGUGGCUCAUGCCUGUAAUCCCAGCACUUUGGAAGGCCAAGGUAGGCUGAUCACGUGACGUCAGGAGGUUGAGACCAGCCUGGCCAACAUGGUGAAACCCCGUCUCUACUAAAAAUACAAAAAUUAACCAAGCGUGGUGGCAGGCACCUGUAGUCCCAGCUACUCUGGAGGCUGAGACAGGAGAAUUACUAGAACCCGGGAGGCAGAGGUUGCAGUGAGCCAAGAUCUUACCAUUGCACUGCAGCCUGGGCGACAGAGUGACACUCUGUCGAAAAAAAAAAAAAAAAAAAAGUUAAGCCCAAAAAGUAAGUAAGGAAGAGGUUUGGAAUUAGAUAUUUGUUGUAUGAAUGAGUGAGCUAAAGUGCAAAAGAACGGGCAGAAUAACUGAGCUGGUACAGAGGGAAAAAAUCACAUUUAAAAUCUAAAAAUAUCUGCUUCUUAGUUCAGGCUUUCCCACUUAGCAGCUUUGGCACCUUAGGAACACUUAACUUAUCUGAGCCUCUAUUACUUCUAAAAAGUGCAUAAAGUGCAGACUAAGACAGUUUUUUUGGCAAAAUUCAGUCAGACUACAUCAAGUAAACUCCCUAAGUCUCCUAGUAUAAUUCAUGGCACAAAAAAUUGGGGAAAAAACAGGGAGGAUAUGAUUAUAAGUUCAGUUUAUGUUUUUUGUUGAGUGAAUGUCUCCAGUCAUAGAGAUGCAAGUGUAGAUACACAGUAAGAGUAGUAUGAAUGGGAGACACCUUGGAAGGCUAUUUCUUCCUUCCUUCAUUCAGUUGGUCACUCAGUGAACUAUCAUGAAUUGAGCACCGCCUCUGUUUCUUAUCAACAAAGGAGACUGCGGAAAAGAAGAGUGACUAAGAUCUCUGAAGAAGGGAAAAGCUAGAUGACUGGGCCACAAGAGGAAAAAAAGCAGCAAGACAGUUACAAUUGUUUCUGGUCCCACUUUUAUAAACACACACACACACACACACACACACACACACACACACAAAAUCAUUUAAUCAUUUUUAAGUAUUUAAUCAUUUUUUAAAAAUCUGUGAUGCUUUACCUGGGCAUGUCUAGGCAGGUCCUCCUUUGCUAGGACGUGCCCUUUUCUGUCCCGGAAUACUCUAAACUUGGCAUUUUGGCAGCGUGAAGUUUUCCCGUUGUGACUUUCUCCUUGUUCCCUUUUCUCCUCCUUCUUUGCAGACAAUGAGUAGCCACUGCUGUUUGCCCUGGCCCAUCAAUGAGAAGAUCUGCUCUUAGAGCCCUGCUUUCCUGCUGAAGGCCCUGAAAUCACCUGUGUUCCAGGCCACCUGCUAACAAUAAAUAAUGCUGCCCUGAUGUGGGGAAUUAGCUCAAGUGGUAGAGCGCUUGCUUAGCACGCAAGAGGUAGUGGGAUCGAUGCCCACAUUCUCCAAGCUUUAUUAUUUAGACAUCGUGUCUCCAAACACUCAGGUCUCCAAACCCAAGUUAGUGUCUGAGAACAGGAUGCUGCUUUGGUUCAAGACGUAGGAGCAGCAAUAAUAGAGGGCUGGUGAUGGCUCCCUCUUGGCAUUCAGUAUAGUGUAGAUCUACCAUGUAAUUAAUUCUCUGUUUCUUUGAGGAGCUGUGAAACCAAGGGACAUAUACAACUGCUCUUUUCUCCCUGUUUCUACCUGCAGCUUUGUCCUAAAUGUGAGACAAUUAUGAAAAGUGCAGCGCAGAGCCACUUGGGUAAAUACAGCCCCGGCUUUCUGCUCAGGGGACAGAGUUUGAGGCACUGCAGAGGAACCGGCCAAAGUAUGAGACCCAUAUAUUGAGAGUAACAGAGUGUAAAGUUCAAAAAAAUCAAAAUAUUUAAAGAUUUAUCAUGGGUCUUGAUGACAUGAUGGAAUCUCUCUACUCUCUGGACUUAUUAUGUGUGGUAAUAAAUUUACUUUUUAAAAGCCAGUUGAGUGUUUUUAAUGUUGUGGAGCUAUUGCUAAGAGUUUCCUGAGUUUUUUCCAGUAAUGUAGAGAUCUUUGUGCUAAAUAUUUCAUAAAGAAGUUUGG